rnacentral:lncRNA from 1 species
UGGUGUUAACAUUUAUGAUCUUAGCUCAAGGGAUCUUGCGGUCUUAGAUAACCAACAUGGGUGGUAAAGAUCAAAGAACUAACUGCCAUUUUAGCAUCAAUAAAAACCUGUGAAUGUUUUCUAAUGUUUUCUAAUUUUUAGGUUGGCAUGGACUCCAUUGUAUACGGAAAUGCACAUAGGAGUAUGUCUGUUGGGUAAUUGUUUCAUAAACUAAAGGAUUGUCCCAAAUCAGAUCUUAAAUUCAGAAAAAUCGUAGGCUUGGAAUGCCCUUAAGUUUUCGUUGUUUUAAGAUGUAGGGAAGCAGCAAAUUCUAACCAUGCAUGAUAAAAUGCUUUUGCUGGGUGGGGAGGAGAGAGGUGGCGAGUUAGGUAUCAUACAGUCGUGAUGGUUUUGGCUGGUCUGAAAGAAAAUGGGAAACUUAAAGCAAAGUUUCAGCAUAGUUUGGUUUGAGAUUCAGGUUUUUCGUCAAAAAUGUUGGGGGAAACUUAAAGAAAAAGACUUGAAACAAAAAAAAGAAAAAGAAAAAGUUAUAACACACCAUACUGGAGUAUAUUGCGUUAUAUAAUAUUUUUCUCUAUUUAGUUUUGAUAAUUUUACGCCGAAAGCAGUAUAUAAUAAGAUGCGUGAAAAAUCAUGGUAAUUGUCGACUACAUUGUAAAGUAGUUUAGUUCAUAGCACAAUGGUUCCAUAUGGCUGCA